AACCUCCGCAAUGUGAGAAAUCGCGACGGGGGGAUCCCAAGUGCCAUUCUUAACGGGAUGGCUUUUCAUUAGUGUAAAGAGCUUUUGGAAUAAGAGCUGGGCAAGACCGGUGCCAGCCGCCGCGGUAACACCGGCAGCUCUAGUGGUAACAAUUUUUAUUGGGCCUAAAGCGUCCGUAGCCGGUUUAAUAAGUCUCUGGUGAAAUCCUGUAGCUUAACUGUGGGAAUUGCUGGAGAUACUAUUAGACUUGAGACCGGGAGAGGUUAGAGGUACUCCCAGGGUAGAGGUGAAAUUCUGUAAUCCUGGGAGGACCGCCUGUUGCGAAGGCGUCUAACUGGAACGGUUCUGACGGUGAGGGACGAAAGUUAGGGGCGCGAACCGGAUUAGAUACCCGGGUAGUCCUAACUGUAACGAUGCGGACUUGGUGUUGGGGUGGCUUUGAGCUGCUCCAGUGCCAAAGGGAAGCUGUUAAGUCCGCCGCCUGGGAAGUACGGUCGCAAGACUGAAACUUAAAGGAAUU
rnacentral:rRNA from 1 species